CCUACGGGGGGCAGCAGUGAGGAAUAUUGGUCAAUGGGAGAGAUCCUGAACCAGCCAAGCCGCGUGAGGGAAGACGGCCCUAUGGGUUGUAAACCUCUUUUGUCGGAGAACAAAACCCGGGACGUGUCCCGGACUGCGUGUAUCCGAAGAAAAAGCAUCGGCUAACUCCGUGCCAGCAGCCGCGGUAAUACGGAGGAUGCGAGCGUUAUCCGGAUUUAUUGGGUUUAAAGGGUGCGUAGGCGGGACCUUAAGUCAGCGGUAAAAUUGCGGUGCUCAACGCCGUAGAGCCGUUGAAACUGGGGUUCUUGAGUGAGCGAGAAGUAUGCGGAAUGCGUGGUGUAGCGGUGAAAUGCAUAGAUAUCACGCAGAACCCCGAUUGCGAAGGCAGCAUACCGGCGCUCAACUGACGCUGAGGCACGAAAGUGCGGGUAUCGAACAGGAUUAGAUACCCUUGUAGUC
rnacentral:rRNA from 1 species